rnacentral:rRNA from 1 species
UACGUAGGUGGCAAGCGUUGUCCGGAAUUACUGGGUGUAAAGGGAGCGCAGGCGGGAAGCCAAGUCAGCCGUGAAAACUACGGGCUUAACUUGUAGACUGCAGUUGAAACUGGUUUUCUUGAGUGAAGUAGAGGUUGGCGGAAUUCCGAGUGUAGCGGUGAAAUGCGUAGAUAUUCGGAGGAACACCGGUGGCGAAGGCGGCCAACUGGGCUUUAACUGACGCUGAGGCUCGAAAGUGUGGGGAGCAAACAGG